rnacentral:rRNA from 1 species
CCUACGGGGGGCAGCAGUGAGGAAUAUUGGUCAAUGGGCGCGAGCCUGAACCAGCCAAGUCGCGUGAAGGAUGACUGCCCUAUGGGUUGUAAACUUCUUUUAUAAAGGAAUAAAGUGAGGCACGCGUGCCUUUCUGGAUGUACCUUAUGAAUAAGGAUCGGCUAACUCCGUGCCAGCAGCCGCGGUAAUACGGAGGAUGCGAGCGUUAUCCGGAUUUUUUGGGUUUAAAAGGGGCGGAGAGGGGUUGUUAAGUCAGUUGUGAAAGUUUGCAGGUCAACCGUAAAAUUGCAAUUGAUACUGGCAGUCUUGAGUACAGUUGAGGUAGGCGGAAUGCGUGGUGUAGCGGUGAAAUGCUUAGAUAUCACGAAGAACUCCGAUUGCGAAGGCAGCUUACUAAACUGCCACUGACGUUGAUGCUCGAAAGUGUGGGUAUCAAACAGGAUUAGAUACCCCAGUAGUC